GGCUUCAGAGGGCGGGUGGCUGCCUCCUUCCGCUUCAGGUUUGCUGCCGCCUGUUAGCUACGGUGGGCUGGGGACCGGGUGACCCACCUGGCUGAAGGCGCUGUCUCUCUAAUUACCUGACCCCAACUUUAUCCAAAGCGCAGGCAAGGCGGCCGGACGGGGAGAAGCGCGCCCUGACGGGGGCUUCUGGAUGGAUAUUUGUCACCGUCCUAGGAUUGCUCACCACCCUCAAGAGGUUUUUGUUUUGCCCGUAGGGUCUUAUUGUGCAGUCCAGGCUAGUCUUGGCCUUGAAACUGCUAUGUAACCCAGGCUGACCUCAAACUUGUGAUCCUUCUGCCUCAGUCUCCUGAGUGCUGGGAUUGUACACCACCUCACCCAGCUUGGGACCUCCACGUUCCCUCAUAGAGAAGGCUUUCUCAUCUUGGUUUCUCCUAAAACAUCUGGAGUGAGGAAAACCUCUGCAUUUGGCCAAUCAAAGAAUCUAUACUUGAAGGUGAUCAGCUGCGAGUGGCUCCUCAACACUAAGAGCGGGGACUUGUCACACUUCUUGGAAUAAACAAUUGAGUUCUUGAACAUAAUAAGAUUUAGAAGCCAUGGGCUGUGGGAAUUCUUCACUGAACAACAAGAAAUCUGAGCGAGUUUUGAAAGCCGCAUUAGUCAUCCAGAACUGGUACCGAGGUUACAGAGCUCGGCUGAGAGCCAGAUUGCAGUAUGCGCUUGCCAUCUUCGAGUCCAUUGAAUAUGCUAAUGAACAAAGCCAAAUGCAGCUUUCUGACUUCUUCUCCUUCAUGUUGGAAAACUAUACACAAAUACGUAAGGACGAUCCAGAAUUUUCGAACCAACUUCUCAAAAGCACAAAGGAUAGACAGGAGUAUAUGGGGUUGAUAGAGAUCCCAGACUCCUACGAUGGACCACGACUGCAAUUUCCUCUCACUUUUACUGAUAUUAUCUUACUUAUUGAGGGCUUCAAGCAUCAAAAGAUACUUCAUGCUUAUUAUGUCUUGGAAGUGCUAUAUGAAACCAAGAAAUUGCUGCAGCAAAAGCCAAAUUUCACUCAUGUAAAAACUUAUCCUUCCAAAGGCCUCACAAUCUGUGGUGAUUUGCAUGGGAAACUGGAUGAUCUUUUCUUGAUCUUCUAUAAGAAUGGUCUCCCUUCAGAGAACAACCCAUAUCUCUUCAAUGGUGAUUUUGUAGAUCGUGGAAAAAACUCUGUAGAGGUCCUGAUGAUCCUGCUUGUGAGUUUUCUUGUUUACCCUAAGGACAUCCACUUAAACAGAGGGAACCAUGAAGAUUUUAUGAUGAAUAUGAGGUAUGGCUUCACAAAAGAAAUUCUGAAUAAAUAUAAGAUAUAUGGAAAAAAAAUCUUGCAAACCUUGGAAGAUGUGUACGCCUGGAUCCCAAUUGGUGCCAUCAUUGACAAUGAAAUCCUGGUCAUACAUGGUGGGAUAUCUGAAUCCACAGACUUGAAUUUACUCCACCGCAUAGAAAGAAACAGAAUGAAAUCUGUGCUGCUACCUCCAGGGCCAGGAAAUUCCUCCGAGUUGGAGCGGAAGAAAAGAGGUGCAAGCAUCAUGUCAGGGCUAAUCACAUCAAAAGAUUCAUCUUCCGAACAGUUACCAAAGCAUGAAUGGGAGCAGAUUGUUGAUAUUCUGUGGAGUGACCCCAGAGGCACCAAAGGCUGUUUUCCAAACACAGGUCGAGGAGGGGGCUGCUAUUUUGGACCAGACAUUACUGCCAGUGUGCUUAAUAAAUAUCACUUGAAGAAGCUCAUUAGAUCUCAUGAAUGUAAGCCUGAUGGCUAUGAAAUCUGCCAUGAUGGGAAGGUUAUUACUAUAUUUUCUGCUUCUAAUUAUUACGAAGAUGGCAGCAAUCGAGGAGCUUACAUAAGGCUGAAUUAUGGCAUGGACCCAGAAUUUUUCCAGUACCAAGUAACUAAUUCAACAUGUGUACAGCCUCUUCACCUAAGGGUGAGUGCUAUGGAAAGCAGCGCCAUCAGGAUAUUAAAAGAGAAAAUUAUUGCACGAAAAACUGACCUCAUUCAUGCUUUCCAAGUUCGAGACCACAGUAAAACAGGAAAAAUUUCAGUGACUCAGUGGGCUUUUUCUAUGGAGAACAUUUUGGGGCUGAAUUUACCAUGGAGAACCCUGAGUUCACAUCUGGUCCACAUAGACAAAGAUGGAUACGCUGACUACCUGACAAGCUUCCAGGAUAUCCGCAUUGAAAAGCCAGUGAAAGAGGCUCAGUCUGUUGUAAUUGAAACUCUGUACAGAUACCGAUCUGACCUGCAAAUGAUAUUUAAUAUCAUUGAUUCUGAUUGCUCAGGCCAAAUCUCCAUGGAAGAAUUUCGGACCAUGUGGAAACUUUUUAGUUCGCACUACAAUGUUCAAAUUGGUGAUUCUCAAAUUGACGAGCUUGCCAACACAAUGGACUUAAACAAAGAUGGAAGCAUUGACUUCAAUGAAUUUUUAAAAGCUUUCUAUGUAGUGCAUAAGUAUGAGAAGUUGAAAAAAUCAAAUAUCAAGUUAUCUCACUACUAAUGAAGACUUCUCCUCAAACUCCUUAUAAACAGCUGAAUUCAAAUCACAGAUUUUCCCAGGACCUCUGAAAUUCAUAGUAAUAGACAAAAGUAGAUUCCCUAUGCAUGCCACAAGCAGAUGUACCAACUGAAUGUUUGAAACCCUUAACAACCUGAUUUGGGAAAACCAAAUUUAUUGAAGCUAAUUCAUGAACAAAAGGAUGAUUUGAAGGGACAUAAUCACCUGGAGAAUGCGACAGCCUUAUAAUGGGUACUUUGGCCAGGUAUGAACUUCGCGUCCCAGCAUUUCCUUUCUUGCAUGUUCCUGGGAAGGAUCGGCCACAGGAAAUUCUUGAGAGACUGGAAGGCAAGAAGGAAGCACACAUGUGCUACUGCCAGUCUACUGACUCACCUUAUUGGCAUGAAGCAGCAGGUAGGCCUGUGAUUCCUCUGUCUUCCCUUGGAUCCUCUGCCAGACUCUUUGAUUUCUGAGCUGUUUAAUGCCAUUGAAUCAGUAUAUAUCAGUAUACACAAAUAUAGAAUAUAUAUACAUUCAGCUUACACAUACACAGAAUCAGUAUACACAAAUAUAGAAUCAGUAUAUACAUACAUAUAUACAGCCACACAUCAGUUAAAAUCAGGGCAACUGUCUCAUGGUUCACUAGAGGAACAAAUUUAUAUAUCAUACAUAAGUAUCAUUAAAAGGAUUUAAUUUGUGGGCUUACAACAGCUGCCUGCAGGAUCAUGGGUAGAAAAAUGCAAAUGACCAUCUGCGCACUGGAGAGCAAGGGGAUACAGCUGAAGGUUGAAGGCCUGGAGCUCACUGCAAAGUCUGGUGCAAGUCAAGUCUGUGCCAGAAAGCUGAAAGGUCUGGGUUGAAAAGCAGAAGAGUCUGCAGUGGAAGGCUGGAGGAACUGGAGAUGAAUAUUCAAAAGCAAUAGAGCAGGCCAGGGCCCCUCCAAAGAAGAAAAGGGAAGAUUUCUUCUAUCACUUUUUAUUCUAUCCUGGCUCCAAGCUUAUUCGUUGGUGUUGCCCAUAUCUGGGCUGGGUUAUCCCUCCCCAUUUUGUGACCUACAUGUCAGGCAUCUACAAAGACACCCAGAGCUUUACUAAUCUGCUAAGCAGUUCUUACUCAAGUCAAAUUGACAUAUCACGAUGAUCACAGUUGCAUUCUGAUAACUGCAUCAGUAGGUAAUUUCAUCAUUGUGUGAACAUCAUAGAUUGUUUUUACACAAAUGUCAUGAGUCAGUAUAAUCUGAUAGGACCACCAUUGUACAAGCACUCCAGAAAUGUAGUUAUGGGGUAUAUGACUGUAUGUAUUUCCUACUGGUUCUGCCUCUCGCUGAACCCUGACUGAUAUGGAAUUUGGUACUGAGUUGGUUCCAGAACAACAAAAUCGUUAAGAAUGAGUGCUCUGAAUUCGUCCUGAGUUUUCUGGAGUUACUUUUCUAAUCUGAUACGAUUUAAAGCCACUAAUAACCUUCCUUUCAGUGAGAAAGAGGAUGCUUUCAGUCCAUGGGAUGAAGUAGCAAAGCAGUUACUCAAAUUGUCACCUUUAAUGAAGUAUCCCUAGAAUGCAGGACUCUGGGAAACCAAAUAUAGUAUUUUCUACUUUAGAACAUUUUAGUCAAAAUAAGUAUAUUAGGGUUGGUAGGUUGCUGAAGAACCUGGAGAAGCAAAAUGGUCAGCAAAGAACUUUAAAUUCUCACCUCAAGACCUUUACAGACACCUGAAAAUUUCUAGACUACCCUGAAAGGAACCCUUAUCUCUGAUAGCCACCAGGUUGGGAUUUCCAAAAGCCAAACCCAAAGUCUAAUCCUGGGAAUGCUUGACAGCACAAAUUCCCAACCUCAUAGAGUUUCUGCCCUCCAAAAACCAUAUUGAAGUUUGACAUUGUAACAGAGGUAAGGCGUAAUUAGAUCAUAAUGGCUUUGCCUCCAUGAAUGGGUUAAUGCUGUUACCAAGGGAACGUGAUGACAGGAUUGGCCUGAUUUUCCCCUCUGUCCCCUUUCUACCAUGUUUUGAAGCAGCACAAAGGCCCUUACCAGAUGCCAGUGUUUCUGGCCUCCAGAACUGUGAGCCAAAUAUAUACCUAUUGUUUAUUAAUUACUCAAUCUAUGGUUUUCUAUUAUGGUAGCAAAGAAAAAAAAUAAGAUCCUUUUUUGUCAAGUGAGAGAUCAUUGAUUGGGGAUGAAAGGCAGCUAGAAAAUUCAAAUGAGAAUUUAUGGGCAGAUUCUGACUCACAUCUUCUUUUCGAUUAGAAGCAUCCCUUUUAACUCUCUGCCUGAGGAAACUGCACUUUCCCCUUUCCUGAAGAUCCUGUAAUGGCCUCCCUGAAGUCAUCAUCUUGAAGUCACUACUGAUCCUUGUCAUACCUUUCUCUCUCUUUCCCUCUCUUCCUCUCUCUUUUAAAUGAAGAGGGUGUUUAUUGGAGAAAAAAAAAAUAGUUUCUGGACUUCCAGGAGGGCCCAAGUGGGUUAAUGCAUGUCCCCUGGAUCCAGAGCUACUUAGGGAUGAGUGGAAUAUGGGAACUGCUCAGUUCUUUAGUGGCCACCUAUCACAGAUAGCUCUGCCACCACCUAUGUCUGAGUAUGCUAAUCUGACUCUAUAUGGAAGAUCAGAGGUGCCGGAAACAAUGAACAGUGUUGAGAUGGUAAACGUGGGUAAGACCUAAAUAAAUAAUAACCUGCUAUAAGAAUUAUACAAAAAUUAAAUAAUAACAAUGGUGCGUAAAUUGAAGAGGGAGUAAGUGGAGUUAAAGUGUUCUAAAAUCUUUGCAUUGUCUAGCAGCAGAAUAAAAGCAACAAUUACUGUUAGAUUAUGACAAAUUAAGAACGCAUAUUAUACUCCCCAAGGAAACUGAUUUAAAAACAGUAAAAUUAUAUAAUUUCCAAUGUAUGUGGGAAUGGAAAGACAACUUUUUACAGAAGUCAAGACUGUAAAAGGGAAAAUGAACAAAGAGAAUUAAAUCCAAGCAUGAGAAUUAUUACUUUCAAUAUUAACAGAUCCAGUGGGGGGAAAAACUGGUUUUGAUGGAUUAAAAGAACCUCUAACUAAACAAACUCAGAGCUCUGGAGGAAGAGCCAUAGAGAAUUUACUAUAAAGUAACCAGAGCCAGUACACCUAUCAACUAACCGAAGCUCCAUGAGUAGGUUCAGCUGUGUUCACCUGAGCACAAUCCAAGCUACAAAAAUGGCACAGCUGUACCUUGCCCCAAAUGCUGCCGUGCAAAAUUGUCUAAAUAAAUGUUUUAAAAUACAGCAUAAAAUUUUAGGGCAGUUUCUGAUGUGUCUGAACCUACAUGAUAAGAUAAUUGACAUAUACAAGUGGAGUGUUGUCCUAAAAAGACUGAAAUGUGAGUCAUUGACUUUGGGACAAGGCAUGAGGGCAGAGGUUGUAAAAGCAGUUUAGAAACAGCAGAGGCUGAAAAAUUAGCUAGAAACCGUUAUACUUGGCUACAAGAAGAUUAUGUGGUUUUGAAACAAUUUCCAAAACAGUAGUCUAUGGUAGCAUGGAAGAUGGUAGAUAAGGUGGUCUCAGGCAAAAAAGUUGAAAGUGAUAGCUGUGGCCCUGGUUUUGUAGCAUACAACAGAGAUGAGAUGAAACCAAAACUUAGCUUACAAGUAGAAUUUAGGAGGACGAUAAAGGGCCCAGUGCUGGCUGAGUUAGAAAAUGAAAGUAUUUUUCAUCUUUAUUAUCCAGCUGGCAAAAGCUUUACAAAGUAAAUUAAAAUCAAAAGGCAACUUCUAGCCAAGAUGGAGUAACAAGGACCAGAUUUAUCCUCCUGCCUGAAACAAUUUAAACAACGAAAAGAAAAAGACAAAAUAUAUGCAACAGUAGUUUUCUAAACAGCGGACAUCAGGCAUUAAAGGACAGUUACCUAGAGAGAUGACAAACAAAGCAAGUGAGCCUCACAUUGCCCCUGAUUACUGCCUUAUGAGGGUUCACAGGCUGAGGCACAGUAGGGUGAAAAAAACUCAGGCGAAGCCCAGAAGAAUUCCUAAUUUGGGAGACCAAGCAGCUAGACUCUGGAGAGUUUUCUCUGUGCAACAGAGAAAUCUGGAGACCUGGAGAGGAUUCCUCUUCAGGUAUUCAACAGAGCAAUGAGCCCUAUGUGCGCACAAGUAAACUCCCUGAGGCCGGGGGAGGAAACCAUUCAGUGCUCCUUUAGGGCCUGGAGUAAAACCUUGUCCCACUAAUGAAUAUCGAAAA